ensembl:lncRNA
GGGGUGGAAAGGUAGGCCUAUUCUGUCUGGGGUGGAAAGGUAGGCCUACAAUGUCUGGGGUGGAAAGGUAGGUCCUACUCUGUCUGGGGUGGAAAGGUAGGCCCUCCUCUGUCUGGGGUGGAAAGGUAGGCCUACAAUGUCUGGGGUGGAAAGGUAGGUCCUACUCUGUCUGGGGUGGAAAGGUAGGCCUACUCUGUCUGGGGUGGAAAGGUAGGUCCUACUCUGUCUGGGGUGGAAAGGUAGGCCUCCUCUGUCUGGGGUGGAAAGGUAGGUCCUACUCUGUCUGGGGUGGAAAGGUAGGCCUACUCUGUCUGGGGUGGAAAGGUAGGCCUACUCUGUCUGGGGUGGGGGUGGAAAGGUAGGCCUACUCUGUCUGGGGUGGAAAGGUAGGUCCUACUCUGUCUGGGGUGGAAAGGUAGGCCUACUCUGUCUGGGGUGGAAAGGUAGGCCUAC